AGCAGAUAUGGAGGAUGUGUGAAUGGUAUAUUGUCUUAAACGUGGGCUUGUUAUAAAGAGGAAUAUUUGGAAUAGAAGUGUGUGACUAUAUAUUUAUUCCCAUGGUGCAGGGAGUGUGAGACAGGGAUUUAAAGAAUUAGGUAAAUCAUUUCUGAUCUACUAACUCCCUAAUCUCUCACUGGGUGCAGUGUAUAAUGCCUGGAUGAAGGAACACGGAGGAGCCAUUGUGAAUAUCGUAGCAGACAUGUGGAAGGGGUUUCCUGGCAUGGCGUAAGAACUUUAUUUAUGCAUUUCUACAAGCUCGACAGAAAUCAAUACUUCAAAAUUGUGAACUGGAGUUAUUGAAAGAAACAAUGUUGCAUUAACCCUACACAAAUCGAGUGUAUACAUUUUAAUUUUCAUGUAAUUUGCAUGAAAUCUAGUCCAGAGAUUGAUAAAAACUCUUAUAGCUAUAGGCGCUCAGACCACUUCAUGUCAGUGUCCUGUCUGUUCUUUUUAUAUUUUGUAUACAACUUUCAGUAAGCUGUACUGUUUUUAAUUGCCUUUUGCGUUCCUUACAAAUACCUAUAAGCUGGCUAUUUGACCAUUUUUAUUUAUCAUUUUGUCACCUCUACUGUAUGUAAAAAAACAAAACAAAAUAAAAACAAAAAACACGUAAAAAUUCAUAGAAACAUAGAAUGUGACGGCAGAUAAGAACCAUUCGGCCCAUCUAGUCUGCCCAAUUUUCUAGGAUGGAGUAGGUAUAUUUUUGCAUUAUACUAUCAUUUCAGACCAUGUGUGUAAUAUUACAAGAUAAAUUACUCUGUAAAACUUUUCAUUCCCCAAAUAUUUUUUAUAAAGGCUGAACAAAUAAGUGAAGAAUAAAAAUGUUGUAAAUUUACAUAAUUCUAUUUUAUUUCAUUUUCCAUCAAAGCAAUAUAUCCACAAAAUUGACAACUUAUGCUAUGUUUGUGCAUCUCUCACUUAAAAUAAAUAUUCUUAUAUUGUCUCACUCAAAAAGUGGUAGGAAAUGAAGGGGUUAAUGUACAAAAUCCCAUUCUGCUCCUAGAACUAUCCAAAGCUUUAUCAGUCUUCAUAUAAAAAAGACAAAACAGACACUAUAAAAGGCAUGUUUAUUUAUUUUGUUUGUUUACACCAUUAGUUUAUUAAUCAGCCACAGAGCACACAUUACAUCAUUCUUUGUGCUUCUCUGAUAAUUAAAUUACCAUAAUAAUGCUGGUCUUGGUCUUCAGCACUUUCUUGAUUCUCUGUUUUUAUUUGUUUUGUUUUUUUUUGUGCUUUAACCCAAGACAGACUUUUAUAGUUUAUAGGUUUAAACCCAUUUUGUGUCUUGUUUUAACAAUAGUAUAACUUUAGUCUCUCCCGGUCAAUGCUUCUCUCAUGCCCUCGCAUUUAUGUCUCCUUGUCAGUGUAAUUUGUGCUCGAACAUAUCUAAAUCUUACAUUUCCUGCCUUUAGUCCACAAGUUGCACCUGUAGUUAUAAUUCCAAUCUUUUAUAUGAUUUAACAUGUCAAUAAUUAAGCCACUUCUCUUCUGUCCGUAACAGCCAUACUGGAGCAGCUCGAGCAGCUGUGGAUAACCUCACCAAGAGCCUAGCUAUCGAGUGGGCACACAAUGGUGUUCGGAUCAACUCCAUCGCCCCUGUGAGUUAAUACUAUCUGCAUCUUUUACUUGCAUCACUAUCCCAUGUUACUUGUGUAGCCGUCAUAUCCCUGAUCAAACAAGUGGACUCUGUGAGCUCAUGCUUAGUGGAAUUUAACUAUUAGCUAUGUGACCGUUAACACUGUUACAAUGUAACUACUUACUGUUUGAUAUCAGCCUUUUGCUUCAAUGUCUAAUUAAUACCUUGAUUAUUCGUUCUACAGGGAACAAUCUUUUCAAAGACUGCUGUUGAAAAUUACAAAGAUAUGGGUCCAAGUAUGUUUCAAAACUAUAUCCCAAAAAUACCUGCCAAGAGACUGGGGCUUCCUGAAGAGGUAACAUUAUGUACAUUUGUGACCCAGGACUAAUGAACUUAAUGAUAUGUACCCACAAAUGCAAUUAUUCACUAAAAAAACAUUGUUCUAAACUGAAAUGCAAACUAAAAUAGCUGUUGGCCAAUUAACUUGAAUAAAAUUGCAGAGAAUAGCACACCUUUGUGAACACUACUUCCUUGAAGGGCCUGAGGUUUUGGAUAGGCCUCUAGAAGGUCUACUUUGUUAUUGGGUCUUUACUAAUCAGCGAAUGGUGAAUGAUCGGUCUAAGACAUCACUCGAGGAAGGGCUAGGCAAAGUGUAGUCAAUUGGGUUUGAGGUUCAAGGCAGCAACAGUUCAUAAGCAAGAGGUGAAGUCCACGUCCAAAUAUAGACAAUGGUCUGUAAUAUGAGGCGGAAGGGCAGUGGUCCUGGAAAGGGAGCAGGACCAAAAGUACACUGGAUCUUUGCAGCAAAUGUGUCGGACCAACUGAGCAUCAAUAUGGGCUUUAAACACUCGUUCGUGCCAUUUGGGAGGCCACAUCGCAUGGAUGGAAAAUAAACGAUUCCAGAAAAGGGUGCAAAGAACUCCAAUUCCAUUUUGAAUGACACAUGAGACAUCUGUGGUGCCAGUUACUAGAAGACCAUGAAAUCGAUUAUUGCACAGGAAGCCACUUUUACCAAAGUGACUUGUGGCCUCAGUGACACCAAGCGUGAUCAGAGUUAUCACAUGCACAACAUAUGUCCUAACAGAUGUCUGGACCGCUCUGCCAUAGGAAACUAGGUAAAUGGACCUUAUGGUGGCUGUGACAGAUGACUAAGCUGUGAUUAGAGCCAAAUUAGAAAACAGAUCAGCUCUUUUUGCCUAAAUUUAUACAUUCGUAUUUCAUUUCACUCAAUUUGUAUUUCCCUUCACUGCAGUGAGUAAACCCUCAUUGUUUAUGAAUUGGCACAUUAAAAGGGUUACUCCAAACUUCAGUGAUUUAAAGUUGUCCUGGUGCAAGGAUUCUAUAUGUGCAGCAAUUAAUUAUAAAGAACUAUAAAGAAGUAUGUAAUGAAGUAAGUCCACCUCUGGCUGCAUAAUUUCCUGCCUGGAACAAGCGUUCUUGGCUAGCUAUGUUAAAUCUGUGCAUACCACAUAUUUGGUGUCAGCACACCGCAUGCUGGUGACACAAUUAUCAAAUGACGGUUGUUCCCCCUAUUUAUGGUGGCCUUUGUCUAUGCUUUUGUCUGACUGAUAAUGUAUUUUGCAUCUCAUUAUGUCAAUCCACAGAUUUCACCCAUGGUGUGUUUCUUACUCUCUCCUGCUGCUUCCUACAUCACUGGAGAGACCGUAAAGGUGGAUGCAGGACAGAGCUUGUACCAUUCCUCCUGGGAAGUGCCAGGUAUAAAUGGGGUUUUAUUGAUUUAAUCAAAGAAAUUUUAAUAUAAACGUAAGUACUGGGUCAUUCCAAUAUUUCAAAAUAUAAAAAAAAACGAACUAUUCUCUUCACAGAUCACAACAGGUGGCCUGAAGCUCCAGAUGGAGAGAAUGCCAAAGCUUUGAAAAAUAUGUUAUCAGACAUCCCUCCACACAAACUGUGACACGUUGGAAUGCUAGCAUGACCGCGUGGCUGAAUCAGGAAACACAGAAUUAACGAGGCCUUCUUUAAUUAUGUAUUUGUAAUCCGAAUGUAUAUUGUUUGUGAAUGUUAUACAAUAUACAUGUUAUCAGUAUUUCAUAACACAAGACGCAGCUUUUUUCAAAGAAUGUUAGACCGCAGCCUAAAGUACUCUCUCUGGAGUCCCACAAGGCUCUGUCCUUGGUCCCCUUCUAUUUUCUCUUUAUACUGCCUCUCUUGGCAAACUUAUUGCCUCAUUUGGAUUCCACUACCACCUGUACACUGAUGACACCCAGAUUUAUCUCUCCUCCUCGGAUCUCUCCCCUGCUGUCCUGCAACGUGUCACUGCUUGCCUUUCUUCCAUCUCUGACUGGAUGUCCUACCGCUUUCUGAAACUCAAUCUCUCUAAAACUGAGCUCCUUCUCUUUCCUCCUCCUAACACUGAUCCUCCUAUUUCGCGCUCCCUUCAAGUUAGUGGUAUCCACAUCAGUCCAUCCUUGCAAGCGCGCCGUCUUGGCGUCAUACUUGAUUCUGGCCUCACCUUUAACCUCUUAAGGACACAUGACGUGUGACAUGUCAUGAUUCCCUUUUAUUCCCGAAGUUUGGUACUUAAGGCGUUAAGCCUCACAUCCAGUAUGUUGCCAAAUCCUGUAGAUUCCAUCUUAAAAACAUAGCCUGCAUCCUCCCCUUUCUUACACAAGAUGCUACCAAGAAGCUUGACCAUGCUCUAGUAAUUUCCCGCAUGGAUUAUUGUAACCCUCUCCUGAUUGGUCUUCCCAAAAGCCGUACUGCACAGCUACAGUCUGUAAUGAAUGCUGCUGCCAGACUGAUUUUCCUCUCUAGUCGGUUCUCUCACACCUCUCCCCUCUACCAGUCCUUACAUUGGCUUCCUGUAUCCUAUAGGAGUCAAUUCAAGGUACUAAUUCACACCUAUAAAGCACUGAACAAUUCUAGCCCCUCUUAUAUCUCCUCACAGAUCCAUAGGUAUGUCCCUUCUCGAUCUCUCCGCACUGCCUGUGACCUUCUCCUGUCCGCUGCUCGCACCCGUAUGGCCAACUCGCGUUUGCAGAACUUCUCGCGGGUAGCUCCCUUCCUAUGGAAUAGCCUGCCUACCCCCAUCACUCUCCCCUAGUCUUCACUUGUUUAAGAAGUGCCUUAAAACCCAUCUCUUUAGGAAAGCUUAUGGCCUCCCAGAGUAGCCUCUACUUUACACACCUGUCUCUUGCUCUCUCCUAAAGGGCCACACUUUACUCUCUCCUCCAGCUCUGCUUCACUCCCACCUUAUUUGAUUGUGAAUUCCUGUCCUAUUGUGUUUUACACCCCACCUCCUAUAUACUGUAAGCUCGUUUAAGCAGGGCCCUCUUCAACCUAUUAUUCCUGUAAGUUUUCUUGUAAUUGUCCUAUUUAUAGUUAAAUCCCCUCUCUAAUAAUAUUGUAAAGCGCUACGGAAUCUGUUGGCGCUAUAUAAAUGGCAAUAAUAAUAAUAAAGAAACGUUAGUCUAGCGAUGGAAAGGGGGUUUCCUUUUCGUUUUUUUCUCCUUUUUUAGAGGUUGCGAUACCUUUUUAGUAUCUGUGUUCAGCGGCGUGUGGGUGUCAAAGCUAGCUGUAGAGAAUAAAAUAUCACUUUUUUCGGAUUUCAGUAAAGGAAAUUGCCGUGCAUUAAUAUAUCACAUUGCAUGAACACGUGAUUUAGAAGGAGAUUCUGUUUCAGUGUAAGGAAUGCAGAGAGCAGUACGUUACUGCCUGUGUGGGCGAUACAUUGAAUUAAUGCUCGGUUUGAUCGUUGGGCUUUCAUGGGACAGACCGCAGCCAUAUACAAGGAUUUUAAUCAGGGAGGGAAAAAGUAAACGAUUGCGUCAAGUAUAUUAUUUCUAAUGUGAUAUGAUUAGUUUAAUUGUAAUAAUUGCACUAUAAUGUUUAUAUAUUUCUGUUAACCUGCAGAGACAAAUAACAGAUUAUUAAAGGAAAUGUGAGAACAUGAAACAGUGUGGCACUCACUUAUUAUCACAUCUCUGUAUUAUAUGGUGAGUGUGAGU
rnacentral:lncRNA from 1 species